UACAGAGGGUGCAAGCGUUAAUCGGAAUUACUGGGCGUAAAGCGUGCGUAGUCGGUUAUCUAAGUCGGAUGUGAAAUCCCCGGGCUCAACCUGGGAAUUGCAUUCGAUACUGGAUAGCUAGAGUUCGGCAGAGGGAAGUGGAAUUUCGGGUGUAGCGGUGAAAUGCGUAGAUAUCAGGAGGAACACCGAUGGCGAAGGCAGCUCGCUGGGACGGUACUGACGCUGAGGCGCGAAAGCGUGGGGAGCGAACAGG
rnacentral:rRNA from 1 species